rnacentral:tRNA from 1 species
ACCUAAGUAGCUUAUUUAGAGCAUGACAUUGAAGAUGUUAGGGAGAUAAUUUUAUUUUUAGGUA